rnacentral:rRNA from 1 species
AUUGAACGCUGGCGGCAGGCCUAACACAUGCAAGUCGAGCGGAUGAAGGGAGCUUGCUCCUGGAUUCAGCGGCGGACGGGUGAGUAAUGCCUAGGAAUCUGCCUGGUAGUGGGGGAUAACGUCCGGAAACGGGCGCUAAUACCGCAUACGUCCUGAGGGAGAAAGUGGGGGAUCUUCGGACCUCACGCUAUCAGAUGAGCCUAGGUCGGAUUAGCUAGUUGGUGGGGUAAAGGCCUACCAAGGCGACAAUCCGUAACUGGUCUGAGAGGAUGAUCAGUCACACUGGAACUGAGACACGGUCCAGACCCCUACGGGAGGCAGCAGUGGGGAAUAUUGGACAAUGGGCGAAAGCCUGAUCCAGCCAUGCCGCGUGUGUGAAGAAGGUCUUCGGAUUGUAAAGCACUUUAAGUUGGGAGGAAGGGCAGUAAGUUAAUACCUUGCUGUUUUGACGUUACCAACAGAAUAAGCACCGGCUAACUUCGUG